CCAAGGCUGGGAAACACUGUUCUGGGAUAGGCUGCUAGUCCCGCUCCACGUAUAUGCUGAUUGAAGAGCAGCCGCAGAAUACUUAUCCACGAAUAAGUGCUCGGUUAUUCGACUCUUUGUGUUGCAGUCAGUGCUUCUGAAGCCGCCACUAUUCCAACAUUUACGGUCCGCCUCUGUCAAUCCGGGUACCUGCCCAAAGUGAUGGAAGCUGACAAUGUGGUUGCCAUGGAGCAUUAUCAAGCAAGUCUAAGAAGACUGUUGCAAAAGCUAAAUACCUACUGUGAUCUUCUCUAAAUAUCAAUAAAACCAAAUUUAAAGUACUCCUUUUUGCUAAAGUAUUUAGCAAAAAACUGUGAAAUAUAACUGGCAGCUGGAUGUAGAGUCCAUUGAAAAUAGUGAAUUUUUUCAGCUAUUUAGAAAUGGCUUUUACCAAAAUGGGAUCAUAGGCAAAUCAUUUUAAAAGAAACUUGGUGAAGUCUGAGACAAGUAUCAAAACAUUAUAUAAAUUGCUUAAUUACAGUUAACCGAGGACCUUGGCCCCCAUAAUGAAAAUAAUUAGGGCAAAAAUAAUCUCAGUGCUGACCUAUAGCACUGAACUGUGGGUUUUACAAAAACCAUUUCACUUCAAUUUCCAAUCUGUUUUAUAAGAAGCAUAUUGGCAACAGACAAGAAAAUUGUAGCGCUCAGAGCAGAAAUAGGUAUCCAUUCCAUACACAGCUACUCAGCUAUUAAAAAGUUUUUAUCUACUGGUAAAGGAUCCACUCAAUGGAUUCUGAUACCCAAAAUAUGUUUAGCUGAACAAAUAAGUAUGGGUCAGCCCAACUCCUGGGUAAGCUGUCUUACCAAAUUAUUUUACGGCUUUUCUAUCCAAUAUUUACUCUCCACUGCCUUAUAUAUAUAUAGCCUUUAUUGUCAUUGUACAAAAUAAAUACAACGAAAUUGCCUUCCAGGCAAAGUACAAUUUUUAAACGGAGUCCUAGAUAUGGUAGCAGUACCCAAAUAGACAUGAAGUUCAUGGCAAGAAAUUUAUCUUUGAAUUGGUUGGCUAAGAAUAAAAAUACUUUCAAAACAAAAAAAAAACUGUCAAUGAGUUUGAAGCCAUGCCUAAGAAACCUAUUCUAGAGCAAAUUUUGAGCUGUUGGAUUUGGUGGCCAAAUAUGGUCACUGCUAUCAUUGGCCAUAUCAUGAGAAGAUAUAUGUAUGUUCAGUGUCCCAGCCAAUAAAGAUAUUUCUCAUGUUUUUUUCAAUUGUCAAUUGAACAUCCAUUUGGGAUUAGGAAUUUGAAAACCUUACUUGAAAGAACAGCCCACUGGGACUUAAAUUGCACACUGUGAUAUUUCUUCCUGGUCUCUAAUAUAUGCAUUAUUAG